UACAGAGGUCUCAAGCGUUGUUCGGAUUCAUUGGGCGUAAAGGGUGCGUAGGUGGCAUGGUAAGUCGGAUGUGAAAUCCCGGGGCUCAACCCCGGAACUGCAUUCGAUACUGCUGCGCUAGAGUACUGGAGAGGAGAUUGGAAUUUACGGUGCAGCAGUGAAAUGCGUAGAUAUCGUAAGGAAGACCAGUGGCGAAGGCGGAUCUCUGGACAGUUACUGACACUGAGGCACGAAGGCCAGGGGAGCAAACGGG
rnacentral:rRNA from 1 species